rnacentral:tRNA from 1 species
AGGGGUGUAGCUCAGUUGGUAGAGCAAUGGUCUCCAAAGCCGUGUGUCGCGGGUUCAAGUCCUGUCACCCCUG